UCAAAACUGCUCGUGGGACAUGCUUUCCUGAACCCGUUUCGGAGAAGAACGCGUUAAAGGAAUCGUCUCCUCCACCAAUGGUAACAUCUGAUGGCAUCUGUCCAUCUGGAUGAAUACCAUGUUCCAGACAAUAAAGCUCCCAGCAAGCGUUUCCCAUUUGCACGCCCGCUUGCCCUAUGUGGAUGGAUAUGCAUUCCCUCUGCGAACAAACACAAUAUAUUCCAAUGUCUCGACAGUAGUACAUGUGAAGAUAGAUCACUCCCACACAUCCCACAGUGAGAUGCUCAUCCCAAAUAAUACAAAUUUCUAAUUAAUCGCGCACAUGACUAAAAUCUAUCAAACGAGCUUAAUAAGCCUAACGAUUGACUGAGCAAGAACCGAGGAAAGCUUAACAAGGGAUGAUUACUGGUGACUUAGACGUCGUCAACUAAAGCAGUGUCUUUAUCACUGUCAACAAGAUCCGGUAGAAAAAUGUCACCUUGACCCGACGUGUCCUUGAUAAUUCAACUGUACCCUAAAAGUUGACACACUGUAACCAUAGCAGCUUAAUCGAAUAUCAAACUGCACACCCGCAUAUGACACGAUUGCACGCUUCACCAAA